GCGGGUGUGGUGAAAUUGGUAGACACGCUAGAUUUAGGAUCUAGUGCUUAACAGCAUGGGGGUUCGAGUCCCUUCACCCGCA
rnacentral:tRNA from 1 species